GUUUCCUUUCUUUGUUUCCUUCACUCUUCAGUCGAUAGUUCACUCUACCCGAUAAUUAGGAUUACAAUUUUUUUCUUCUUCCAUCAGUCGAUAAUAGAAUUAAAUUCGCCAUCCUAUGAUUCGGUUAUAACCCCUGUGAUGGAGAAACCUACUGGUGUGACACUGGAUUUCGUCCCCGAACAGAGUGGGAAUGUUUUCGAUAUUGACCAUCACUACAAGUGUAAUACCUGGGGGAGCUGAUGAGUACCCUGAUCCACAUGCUAUGUUUGACAGUCCCAACUCAAGUGAAUGUCUUGACAUUACGGACGAAGAUGACGAUGACUGGAUAACAGAGAAUCGGAAGGUGAGGGUGGCUGAUUGGGACCACUGUAAUCCGGAAGAGUCUUACCUUAGCAGUUACAGUAGUUCUGAAGAGUCAGUGUUGCCAAGUGAUGCUGAAGAGGAGGGCGAAAUCCCAGCGCUCCCGCGCAGAAAACUAAGCUUCAGGAAUGAAGAUAUAGCUUCAACUUCCAACGUGCAGUCCGGUGAUGCAUGAGUUGCAUCUACUAUGUUUCAGUACAUGAAAGAGAGACCCAGCACUAGGGCCAUAACGAUUAAAAACAAAGUCUUCAGGAUGAAAGGGGUCUGAAUAUCCAUCAAGAGAGCACGUCGUGCGAGGCAUAUGUGCCUUGAUGAUAUAUUUGGCUCAGGCUCUUAUGAAAGAAGUUUUAGGAAAAUACCUGACUUAUGCUACCGGAUUAGGGCUCAAAACCUGGGAAGUAUUGCAUGUUGGAAAAUUAACAGAAAGACCAGCGAGUUUGAAGGCCUUUGCAUUGCGUACAAGGCAUCCAUUGAAGGGUUCAAGGACGGGUGCAGACCUUUGAUAGCAUUGGAUGGUUUUCCCCUUAAGACCAAGUUUAGGGGUGCAGUCUUGACUGCGUGUUCAGUAGAUGGGGAGAAUGCCAUGUUUCCUGUUGCAAUUUACAUAUGCAGGACAUAAACCCUUCAAGCAUGGAGACGCUUCAUUACGAUUAUCACAACGUCUUUGAAGGAAUUCAGGAAGCCAAUUACCUUUUUUUCUGAUCAUGAGAACGGUGAGACAUUGGUUUCUUAUAUGUAUCCAAUACUACUGCGCAAGAAUGUUUUGGGUUUGCCUAAUGAUGUUGAAUGUUUUCCUUACAAGCGUGAAUGUUGCCGUUGCUGAAAAGUUUAAAGAUGUGGUGCAUCAUCAAAGGAGAUGUUUCAGGAAAAUAUAUAAGGGAGAGAUUUUGACUUGUAUUGUUAACAAAAGUUGGGAUAUGCAGUUUGCCUUAAAAGAGAGUAGGAAGAAGAAUGCUAAAGCAUCCAUGUACAUUCAACAAGGAGCUGGAGACAUUGUUCUACUAAGAGUAAUUCAUUUUCCUAAAAGUAAAGAAGCAUGGGAUAUUUUUCAAAAGGAGUAUGAAGGAACAAGAAGGUUUUGGAGAGAGAAUAUGUGAGGGGCGACGUUCCUUCUGACUCCAGCGACAUUCCUUCUGACUCCAGCGCUCAUCCUUCUGACGCCAGCGUUUUCAGGAAUGACGCGCAUCACUACAACAGAAGCGCGCUAGUUCUUCGAACUCGAUGUUCAAAUGAACAGAUCCGUUCAUUUGAACAUCCAUUUUCUUGGUUUGUUCAUUCCAUAGUGGGAUCAAAAUGAACAAACUUUGAGUUUGUUCAUCCCAUAGGAAUUUGAGAGUGUUGAAACUUCAAUCGUAUAGAAGAGAUUUCGAAAAUCUACAUAUGAAAGAUAAUGAAACAUUGGAUGA